rnacentral:rRNA from 1 species
UACGGAAGGCAGCAGUGGGGAAUAUUGCACAAUGGGCGCAAGCCUGAUGCAGCCAUGCCGCGUGUAUGAAGAAGGCCUUCGGGUUGUAAAGUACUUUCAGCGGGGAGGAAGGCGAUGCGGUUAAUAACCGCGUCGAUUGACGUUACCCGCAGAAGAAGCACCGGCUAACUCCGUGCCAGCAGCCGCGGUAAUACGGAGGGUGCAAGCGUUAAUCGGAAUUACUGGGCGUAAAGCGCACGCAGGCGGUCUGUUAAGUCAGAUGUGAAAUCCCCGGGCUUAACCUGGGAACUGCAUUUUGAAACUGGCAGGCUUGAGUCUUGUAGAGGGGGUAGAAAUUCCAGGUGUAGCGGUGAAAUGCGUAGAGAUCUGGAGGAAUACCGGUGGCGAAGGCGGCCCCUGGGACAAAGACUGACGCUCAGGUGCGAAAGCGUGGGGAGCAAAACAGGGAUUAGAUACC